rnacentral:lncRNA from 1 species
AUUGUGAGCGUCUUUGCCCCGUACCAAGACAGUAUGCAUUUGGCCAGAGGAGAAAAGAUUGCUGCAGUCUUGCUACUUGGAGGUCUUUGCUGUUCCUAGUCCCACUUAAGAACUCCUGGUCUCCAAGUGGGCUUCGUACAGUGGACAAUGCCAUCAAGCAGACAGAGG